CAGGCAGGACCCUUGGCCUUGGACCAGACCUAAGGGCCCUGGACACACCAACCAGCCCCUGAGCGCCCAGCAGAAGAUCCUGAGGUUCAGGGCAGACAGUAGAGGCUGCCAUCCCCAGGCAUGGCCAGCGCACGGUGCUAUGCUCAGCACGUGUGUAUCAUGAAUUCCAAGUCUUGCAAUUACCCUAAGGGGUAAGUUUCUUCUUAUUCCUGCUUUCGGAAGAGAAAGACCGAGACUAAGAGGUCUCAUCACCCACCGAGGUGCUCCCUGUGGCUUAGAAGGCGCAGAACUGGGAUCUAAGACCACUGCUCUCGCUCCAGAGCCCAUGCUGUGGACACGCAUGAACCCUUCCUCCUGACCCCAGCUGCCCGUCAGAGGCAUCAAAUAAGUAUUUGUGGAAUUAAACUCAU